rnacentral:lncRNA from 1 species
CGUAAAUAACACGAAGACUUUGAUAAGUGAAUGACUCAAACAAGGACACCAUCAAAGAACAAUGCAGUCUACUUUUGUUUUAAUUUGUUGUAUUAGUAAGUAAUUUUGAUAGAUGCUAUUUACUUUUUCGUCAUUUAUAUAGAAAUUAAAAACAUGAAUAGUUGUUAUUUUACUUUAUUUUUUAUUAUUUUUAUAGGCUUAGCAGUUGCUUGUGUUGAUUUGUCUGAAGAAUGUUCCGACAAGAGUCUGUGUAUCUUAAAAUCCUAUAGAGAUGGUUGUCAGAAACUCUGCGGCUGUCCGCGUAAG